AUUGAACGCUGGCGGCAUGCUUUACACAUGCAAGUCGAACGGUAACAGGCCUUCGGGUGCUGCCGAGUGGCGCACGGGUGAGUAAUGCAUCGGAACGUACCCAGAGGUGGGGGAUAACGCAGCGAAAGCUGUGCUAAUACCGCAUGUGAUCUGAGGAUGAAAGCGGGGGACCGAGCAGCAAUGUUUGGCCUCGCGCCUUUGGAGCGGCCGAUGUCGGAUUAGCUAGUUGGUGGGGUAAAGGCCUACCAAGGCGACGAUCCGUAGCUGGUCUGAGAGGACGACCAGCCACACUGGAACUGAGACACGGCCCAGACUCCUACGGGAGGCAGCAGUGGGGAAUUUUGGACAAUGGGCGCAAGCCUGAUCCAGCAAUGCCGCGUGCGGGAAGAAGGCCUUCGGGUUGUAAACCGCUUUUGGCAGGAACGAAACGGUGUCCGCUAAUACCGGGCGCUAAUGACGGUACCUGCAGAAUAAGCACCGGCUAACUACGUG
rnacentral:rRNA from 1 species